rnacentral:rRNA from 1 species
UACGGAGGAUCCGAGCGUUAUCCGGAAUUAUUGGGUUUAAAGGGUGGUCGUAGGCGGCCGACUUUAAGUUCAGCGGUGAAAUUUUAGUCAGCUUAACUGUAACAGUGCCGUUGAUACUGUUUGGUCUAGGAUUUGGUUGUUAGUGCGCGGAAUGUGUGGUGUAGCGGUGAAAUGCUUAGAUAUCACACAGAACACCGAUUGCGAAGGCAGCACACUAAGUCAUUAUUGACGCUGAGGCACGAAAAGUGUGGGGAGUCAAACAGGAUUAGAUACCCUGGUAGUCCACGCUGUAAACGAUGAUAACUCGCUGUCGGCGAUACACAGUCGGU